rnacentral:rRNA from 1 species
GAUGAACGCUGGCGGCGUGCUUAACACAUGCAAGUCGAACGAGAAAUGUAGACGGAAACCUUCGGGCGGAAGCCUUCAUUUCGAGUGGCGGACGGGUGAGUAACGCGUGGGUAACCUGCCUCAUACAGGGGGAUAACAGUUGGAAACGACUGUUAAUACCGCAUAAGACCACAGCAUCGCAUGAUGCGGGGGUAAAAACUCCGGUGGUAUGAGAUGGACCCGCGUUCGAUUAGCCAGUUGGCGGGGUAACGGCCCACCAAAGCGACGAUCGAUAGCCGAUCUGAGAGGAUGACCGGCCACAUUGGGACUGAGACACGGCCCAAACUCCUACGGGAGGCAGCAGUGGGAAAUAUUGCACAAUGGGGGAAACCCUGAUGCAGCGACGCCGCGUGAGUGAAGAAGUACUUCGGUAUGUAAAGCUCUAUCAGCAGGGAAGAAAAUGACGGUACCUGAGGAAGAAGCCCCGGCUAACUACGUG